UACGUAGGGUGCGAGCGUUAAUCGGAUUUACUGGGCGUAAAGCGUGCGCAGGCAGCCCGUUAAGACAGGUGUGAAAUCCCUGGGCUCAACCUAGGAAUUGCGCUUGUGACUGGCGGGCUCGAGUACGGUAGAGGGGGGUGGAAUUCCUGGUGUAGCAGUGAAAUGCGUAGAGAUCAGGAGGAACACCGAUGGCGAAGGCAGCCCCCUGGGCCUGUACUGACGCUCAUGCACGAAAGCGUGGGGAGCAAACAGG
rnacentral:rRNA from 1 species